rnacentral:rRNA from 1 species
UCUGAAAAAUAGAAUUGUACCAGGAAAAGUAGAAAAAAAACACGACAGAGAGAGAAAAAAAAGCAAGGAUACUAAAAAUUUGGUAUAGAUCGCAAGAGAAAACAAGAAAAUGAUUUUGAAUCAAUGAGUUUCUCGGACGAAGAAGACCGCAAUACGUGCAUAAUUGCUCUGAAAAUAGAAGUGAAAGAGCGUUUGUUGAAUGCGUGACCGUUAGGAUUUGUAUUAAAUUCUAGAGAAAUUUUCAGGAAAUAGGAAAAAGAAGACAAGAAAAAUAACAAAUGUAUACGAAAACAGGAAGAAAAAUAAUAUUUCUGAGAAUUUCUUGAUGACUCUCUUAACUUAAGCAUAUCAAUAAGAGAAGGAAGAAUAAUUAACAAUGAUUCCU